rnacentral:lncRNA from 1 species
AGUCGGGUACUUCAUUAAAUGCUCGUUUACAGGCUCUCCUGGCUCCAUUUUCUUCUUCCAUUCCCUCUCUUCUUUAGUUCUUUGUCUGCAGCAUGUCAUUCAUAAUUACCUUCUUGUUAUAAGAAAUUGUUGAAGAAAGAGAUUCCAAAUUUACUUUUGAGUUUUUAAAGCUUAUGCUCCAUUUAUAGUUUUUGUAAAACAUUGGCCCUAUCCCCUGUGUGGCGCACUAUAUCCUUGUAGCUUAUUUUAUACCUGAUUGUUUGACCUCCUAGGCCCCUGUCCCUGUACUGGCCCCACCACCAGUAACCACUAGUCCGUUCUCUGUAUCUGUGAUUCCGUCUCUCUUUUGUUAUAUUCAUAAGUUGGUUGUACUUCCUGAUUAUUUUUAUAUAAUUAGAAUGAGUCUUGAUAAAUCAUUCUUGGAGCUCCUUCUGCAUGCAAAAAUGAAUACUUCCUUCUUUGUCGAUGCAAUAAAAUAUUUAAUAGGGCAUGAAAUAAAUGAUAAAUUGCUUCCUUCCGAUAAAUAUGUAUAUUUUAUGGUAAUGCCACCGCUGAUAUGCUUCUUGCCUGGCCGCUGUGUGAUGAUGACUCUUGUGGGGAACCUUCCUGAAUUCUUCCGGGCUCCCUGCUGGGUUCCUCUGUCAUGACUUCCUUUGACCUGGGUGGACACACACCGGCUCCAGGUGGUUUCUUGGGAUCCAGUCUCAGAUCUCGGCAUCCAGACUGCUUCCACCUGCUGAGGUCCUGCACACAGCCAUGCAGACAGCCUCUGGAACACCCUGUAUGGCUCUGGCUCCGGCCCCAAAGCAGUCUGUCAAUCACCUGCCUUUCUCCUGCCAUGCAGGUGGAAGUUAGGCUGCUUUCCACAGGCUGCUUUAACUUGCUUCAAAGUCUUCCAGCUGCAAGGAGCAGCUUUUAAGGCUCUGUGAGUGGUCUUCCCAAAGCUACCUUGGCAGACAUGGGAUUGGAAGGCUUGCGUGUCCACAGCUUGGCAGCUCCUCUGUGCCAAGAAAUGGCUCCAUGCUUCCUCUUCCUGGUUUUUAUCAUAUUGAUACCAACUCUUGGAAAUUCUUGAGGUGAGUGAGGAGGUUCCAGGGUUGUGGACUAGUUUCUCAACCAUCAUCUUGACAAUCUGCCAAUGAUGAUGUGUCAGCGAAGGUAGCCCGGCUGUGUAACAAAUCCAUCCAAAUCCAUCCAAGGCUGCUCCUUGCUCCCUGGGAGCCCUGAGUUGUUGAGUCGUUCCAGAUCAGAGGAGGGGGCUUCUUUAUAUAGUAAGGUAACCACUUCCUUCGCUCCAAGAAGACCCAUCUCCAAGUCAGGGUUAUAUAAGAAAUUCUACUGAUGUUUUAUUUCUAUUUUCUCAGUUUUACGUAUCUCGGCCAAUUGGAUUUUCUCGAGUGCGAGUAUGGAGUAGAGAUUUCAUGUUAUUAUUUUCUAAAUGCGUAGUCAGUUUUCCUCACAUCAUUUAUUAAAUACUCCAUCAUUUCCCCAUGGAUUUACAAUGAUGCAUUUUUAAUCUUAAAUUCCACAUAUGCGUGGGUUCGUUUUCACUCCUUUUGUUCUGUUCUAUUAAUGUUUGUCUCUUCUAUUGCUCGGACCAUUCUGUUUUGCAAUAUGCAAAUGUCUCUUCCCUACUCUGUAAAAAAACUGUCCACUAUCCUCAUAAAGUAAGUCUUCCAAAUAAACCUGAGAAUAAUUUUUUCAAAUUUCAAGAUAAUCCACUGAGAUUUUAUUGAGAUCACCUAUUACUUAGCAAGAACUAGACAUUGGUAAAACCAUGAGAUUUGCUUUUAAACCCAUAUCAUGUUGCUAUAUUCCCAUUGAAAAAUGUUUCUCAAUAAUGCCAUGUCUUUCAAAAAAUUAAUUUGUAGGAAUUUAUAAUGGUCACAUGAUAUUUUAAAUUAUCUUCAACUAUAUCUUCUACUUAGUCAUUGUUGAUAUGUAGUAAAAUUAUUCCAUUUUGUGUAUUCUGUUACUAUUGUCCAUCUUACUGAGUUCUUUUUUAGUUUUCAUGAAUUUCAGUGUACUCUUAGACUUUCUGGGUGUUUACCAUCCAUAAAUAAGACUAAAUUUCUUACAACUUUUUUUUUUUGUUUGCUUAUUGCAUUGACUGAUGCUUUGGAAUUCUGUCAGGUGAUGCUCCUAUAACCGUAUUUGACCACAAAAGACUAUUCUGACUGGUGAUUUCUGAUAGGUGGUCCCUUAAUAAGAAACGGAUGUUAAAUUUGAUCGUAUUUCUGGGCAGCACUUUUCAUGAUGAACAUUUUGGCUUCUUGGCUCUAUAAACAUUACAAACUUUUAUAGGGGUUCUAAGAAAGGAUACCUAUUGCAUUCCUGAAGUAGAUUUGACUUGGUCCAGGAACGUCUUUUAAAAUCUUUGAGAAUGGGUUACAUUUCUCCAUAAAAUAUAAAAAUACUGCAACAAAUCAUCGUCCAUUUUCUUCGCAUGUAUUUCUUGAGCUCCAAGAGUCUAUGAUCUAUUUCCUGCCACCUCGGUGUUUAAAGAUUGGGUGAUCACACUUUAAGAUUGUAACCAGAUGGUUAAACCUGGGAGAGGGGACAGGAGUGCGGGGGAGGGGCCUGCAGAGGAACUCGGAGGAUUUGUAACCUUUGAUUCUUCAGGUGGGUGCUGAGGACAUGUGGGUUUAUUGUGUGCGUGUUAAAUUUUUAGUCUCUUUGAGGUCUUUCAGUGUAUUAUGAAGUGUUAGGAAAUAGUUUUCCACAUCACAACGCCUCCCUUUUUCAAUAACCAGAUUAUUCUCAUGGCAAAGAUACAAUAUUCUCUCAAAUGUUUUAGACAUACAAUUUAAAAAAAGAGUUCCCGUCGUGGCGCAGUGGUUAACGAACCCGACUAGGAACCAUGAGGUUGCGGGUUUGGUCCCUGCCCUUGCUCAGUGGCUUAACGAUCCG